AUCUCAGUGUUGAAACGGUUAUCAUGACGGUCUCCAAAACCGUCGUUCGAGGUUCGAAUCCUCGCUGGGAUG
rnacentral:tRNA from 1 species